ensembl:lncRNA
GGGAUUAUUUCUCCCAGGAUCCCUCGCCAUGAUGGCAUCGGUUUGUGCUCAUUAUUUCUCAAUUAGCUUUGUUGAAAUCUCAGAGCAUCAGCCGACCACCACUGAUGAUGAGCUACACUGCUGAUGUGAAUCGUAUUGAACUAAUUGGUGUCAGAACCACCAGUGACCUUUAACUCCUUAACUGCUCUGGAAGCAGAAAUAAGUCCGCAAGCACAAAGCCGUAUGGCCGCGCAAAGGAGUUAGCUUGCUGAUCCGGCAGUUUUUACUAUUGUUCUCUAUUUUAACAGUGUGUGUGUGUUUGUCUGUGCCGUUUUUUGUCUUUCCCUUCAUCUCAUUUAUGUUAAACAGAGCGAUCCCUCUCGAGCUGGGCUAAUGUGUGUUUUCUUUCCAUUAGGAAUGAGUCAUUGGGGAUGGAGCUUUUAGGCGUGGGGGGGGGGGGGGGUAGUCAUAGCAGUGAUUAUUGCUGUUAUUUGAUUACACAAAUGAGAGGCAUUCAUGAUUAGGGGAAGCAAAUUAUUUUAAAUUGCUCCGACUGAAGACUUUGUGUGCACUUCCAAAUGAGCGAUCAGAAAAUUAAAAUCCGUGCCGAUGUCAUAUAGUCAGGAUUGCAGUGAAUUCGUGUUUAACUCGAAGAAUCAACUUGCGCAAGUCAGAAGUGAAACUUCUCUUGACUUUGCGAUGACUUGUUGUCCAGAUGCUCCUGAAGCAUUCGCCUAAUUGCUUCUCAUUCAUCAUGACUUUUAAGUUUGCUGGAAAAGCAGAUGGCUUCUCACCUUGCUCAGCAAUUUGGCUUCAGCAGCAAAGUGACACGUCGGGAUGUGAUUCACUCUGAUUGCUAGUGAUUUCUUUCUUUAAAACUAUGUUGCCUGUAAACACUUUUCUUUUUUUGGGGCUGUAGCUCGCACAAAGAUUCAAAGUUAUAGAAUAAAGUGUGGCAGGGAAAGUUUUUCUGUUCUCCAUCAGCAUUGAUUGGAGUGAGCAGAGUGCAGUGAGUUGAGGUAAAUAUGCACAGACGUACUGAACACCCCCCUCUUCCACCACGUCCUCCACACUACAGAUUACCUCAGUGGUGGCUAGCGGGGCCCAGAUAAUUACCCUGGGUUAUUUCUCCUCCCACACUUUGCUUUUGAAGUCGUGGCUAUUUGCCCGCCUCGCCGCCUGGGCUCUAAUAGCAUCCCGGCAUGCCAUCGAUCCCACACCCCCUCCUCCGGAUAUGAACGGGCAGUGGAGCUGAUGGAGGGAACAGUCCAGGAGUCCGUACGCCUCUGCAGAUCUCCUAAAGCACAGGUUAAUUGAUAUUCUAGUAUGCCCAAUAAUGGAAACGGCGAAAAGCACAAAUUACUGUAAUAUGCACAUCAAACUGCACAUUGAGAUGGGCUCUUUGCGAGCGGGCAAAUUGAAAACUGGCACCUCGUCAAAUUCUGUGCAUCUACGGAUGCGAAAGUCAGCCUGUUUUUUUUACUGCAACAAAUUGAACCAGAUAAACCGGAUGAAUUCCUUUUGUCGAGCAUCCAGCAUGGCAGUUCAAAGGAUUCACAGUAGUACGGACCUUAAAGGAAAGUCCUUACCUCUCAGUUCUGUUGAGGAAAUGAGUGGCUUCUCUGCUCAGCUGUGUCAGGAGAGUCAAAACGCCAUAAUAGAUUGAGAUGUGCUGUGAUGUUUUAAUCCUCUGACAGCACGAACAUUUAUUCCAAUGCAGCAGCCUAGUUCACAUAAGAGCGGCAGGCAUAUAGUUUCUAACUACGUGUGUGUAUAAACACUUUACCCUAACGCUGUCCUCAGCUUUAUUAUCUGCUCAUUUUAUGUUUUUAAAGCUGAUACAUUUCUCAAAACUUCUGUCUGGAUUAUACCGCGUAAUAUACUGUGGGAGGACACGUUCAAAGCUUCUCCGGACAUUAAGUCCUAAAUGUUGCAAAACAUUAAACAGCCAGCUUGGUGAGACCUCUGCAGAGUGCUAAUUUGGCACAACUGUAAUAAAGCACUGCAGGAUCACUGAGGAAAUAUCCCGCCACGAGUUGAGGUGAUGCAGCGCAGCUGAGUUUAGAAACUACAACACAUGACUAACGGGUUCUAAAUAAGGCAAAGGGAUAUGCCACUUUCCCUGCGAGGGAAAAUCAUGUUCUACACGCCGAUCAGUUGAGGUAAAUACAUGGUCACUGGAGGGUGCAGAUGUGUGGAGGUCCGGAGGUGGGGCUCGCGCCCCCUGGUUUGGUGAGGGCCGGUCUCCGUCCAUGAUUUGUGUGGGACGAAUGGUCAUUAGGGAGAAUGUGAACAAAUUACAAAGUGAUUGAUUGAAUUAUCGCUGCAUGGAUGCCUUCUGUAAACCUAAGGCUGCCAGGCACACAGCAGCUUGAAGGGACGGUGAAAUCAGUGCUUCCCCAACAGUACUAGAACAUUUGCUCCUGAUCACUCUCUUAGAAAACUGGACAGAAGAACAGAAUAGACGGCAGGAAAUCAGCUCAUCAGCGCGACCGCUCUGCUGUUUCAUGCGUUUCACGACUGGCUCCGGCUAUUUGUAGAGACUUUAUUUGUGUUCCUGCUGACUAUUUCAGUCCACUGGCUCCUUUUAGAAUCUGUUUUACAAAAGAGGGGAUGAUCAAGCAUGUCAAAUGUGUAUCAUGUAGUCACGUGUAAGCGGCUCUAUUCAUCUCAUCAGUGCCUUUUACUCCUCCGUGCAGAGAAUACUCUUGGUACAAAGACACACGCGCAGACUUUGAGCACCAGCAGAAGAUCACAGGGACCUUAUCAACUGCUGUCACAACACAUUUAUCCCCCAUCUGUUUCUGGGAGCUGUCGUGAGCUAAAGGUUGCUCUCUGCUGCAAAGUGGAAAAGUGGGUUCCUCACUGCGUUUUUCAUUCUCUGUACUGGAGAGCGAGGGCAUGGGCCCCCCGGCCCUCGCUAUCUGUGGCCCCGUCCAAACGGGGACGAUAUCUGCCCGAAAAUAGCCCCGCUGUCAGCUUGCCUUAGUUGCCGGCCCCGCUGGGUCAGUUAAGGGGAUCAGUGCUCGCCCGAGUGUGUGUGUGUGGCUCCGCGGUAAGACGCGGUGCUGGUGACACAUUGCUUUGAUGGGAUCACCGACCGCUCCUAAUCCCCCCCCCCUCGACACAGAUGACCUCAGGGGCUCAUUGGACUCACCAGGCGUGACACCGGUCCCGCCUGGAUGUCAACAUCCGAUCCAGUUGAUCUUCAGCCCGUACACCACCAAUGGCUUGUAAACAAGGUCUCUGUACCCGAAAGGAGAGGCGCCUUUGGGAUUCGCGUCGGUUGUUACAUUUGUGGUUUCGUGGUGCGACGCAGAGUAUCGCUGUAGUGGCGACCGUACAGCGUUGACAUCGUUGUCCUGUUCUAAAUAUAAUGCAAGAUAAGUUUGGAUGCAUCCAAGCUGACUUAUUAUUUUUUCCUGUAAAGCCAAAGGAAAUAAAUAAAACGCUACUGCUGUUGUCACGCAUUUAGUUGGUUCCUAAAGAAGUAUUUGUUGGCCGUGCAGCUCGUUUGUUGGCCACAGAUCUGGCAUGCUAACGAAAGCACGAGCGCACCGCGUUUAGGAGGCCAUCUGGAAAGUCCUUCGCUGUGAUUAAAAGAAUUUCAGCCCGUUGCAUUUUGACUUUUUAAUGAACUGUGCAGCCUGCGGAUGUUUGCUGUGUGUCGUGGGGGCUGCGUAUGUGUGUCGGUACGGGUUUGUGUGGCUGACUGUCAAGGCUGCGAACUGUUCACUCUCUGUUUGUGAUGACUUGGCAGCAAAGGAAAGGUCAAGGAAGACAGAACUGCCAAAUGUGCGAGUUUAGCAGUAGUCAAUCCCGGCCUUCUCUGCAUGGAAUUUUUAUAGAGUUUUAUAUGUUGCCAGAAAAUAUGUUUUAAUCUUCUCAUUGCUGGCAAUAGCGCAAUACGUGGCUCUUAAAGUCCUAAAUCUGUUAUGCACAACAUGUUGAAUAGGCUAUUGUUUGUGGGGGGGGGUUACAGAAACAUUAAAUGGAGCUUUACAAUUUCUUUUUUUUUAAAGGGAGUUUGAAUGUCAGUUGAUUUCUUUGCUAACUCGUAUAGUAUGUGGCAUGUUUUUGUGGUCAUUCUGCAUCUCAAAAGGUACAGCACCAGUCAGAAUUCAAUGAGAAAGUGUGUCCAAACCUUUGACUGGUACUGGAGCAUGUGGAAGUACGCCGGACCGUUACCUCCAAACACGUCCUCCUCUGUCCUAAAAGAGUAAAUCCUGUCUCCUUGGAGCGACCUUGCAAACUCGAUGCAGAACAACUGAACCGAUCCUCUUAAUAUUUGACCAGCACUUUUGCAGAGUCUUGUGUAUUGAUCAGGUACACAAAGAAAAACAAACAAGGGCUAUUAAAAACAGCAGCUCAUGUUCAACAUUGAUUGAACUUAUCGAACUUGUAAAUAAUAUGUGUAACUAAGGUUGUCUUCCCCUUUUAAAAGCAAUGAACACGAGGAAGCAUUUCUUUUAUUCAGGUGAGCAACUUUCAAACUGCAAAUACAGUUGAAAAGCAGGAAAACUCAGAAUUAGACACUAGCUAAUACCAUUUUAUUUACUUGCAUAUGCGAAUGAUCUAUUUACUCUAUAUGUAAUAAACACUCCUACUUUUCGCUUCAAACUACUGCCUGUGUCAGUAUAGUUUUACUUUAAAGAAGAUACUACUACAGACAAGACUGUAUUGUCUUUUUUCAGAUGAUAGUAUUUCACAGUAUCUUUUAGGCCAUCUCUGAGACAAGAGCGUUCACAUGCAGGAUGACCUGCGCUCCUCUCCGCCGGCUCUGACAGAUGCUACUCUGUUUAGUGGUGACACAUAUUUCCAUUAGGACAAUCUGUUUCUACUUGGAAAUGUCAUUUUAUUAUUAUAAUUAAGCCCUCAGCAUCAAUAUUUUCCAGUGUUUGUAUGAGUCUUGGCUUGCAGUCCUCAUGACAUCUUGAGGAAGCAAAAGGGAAAAUGCGUUCCCCCCCAAGCCGUCUUUUAGCUGCUUUACCAUUUUGUUGAAAAUGGAUAAACACUUCUUUAUUUUCACCCAAAUAUAAGAAAAACAAAUGGAAAAACGAAAAAAUAUAAAACUGCCUAAUAUUCGUUUGUAUAGUGAUGUGUUCAAAACAAUGAUCCAAUCAAGGGGAAUAAUCUUCAAAAUAACAAUUCUGUGUUGAAUUGUGUGCCGUUUGCUAAAAAAAGAUGCAAAGAUGUUUUAGAUUUUAAUCACCCCAAAAUGAAUAGUUGUUUAUAGUGUGAUUUUAAAAUGGAAUUAUUCCAUACCAGACAGUGAGCCUUAAUUCAUUACAGUGUUUCCCCUUCCAUUAUAACAGGGGGGUGUCCUUCCACCCCGAAAUACCCUCCCAACCCCCUAAAAAGGUUAGGGCUGUCAAUAGAUUAAACAAAUGAACUAAUUAAUCCCACAUUUUUAAAUGAAUUAAUCGCAAUUAAUGAAUGUUGUUUUUGACGUUGUUACAAUGCUGUUGUUAAUUAACGUUGGUUUUCCUUCCAAAGACUAAAUCUUACAAGUAAUGAGUAAUCACUUUAGAAAGUGUGUAUUUUAGACACUGUUGUUUAAUUGUUAAUGUUAUUUUACGACACAACACAAAACUACACACAUUUGAUCAUCUUGGAGGCAGAAUUUCACCUGGUGGAACAUGUUGAACUAGCGACUCUUCCUGUUGCACUUUGCUCUCAACUCUCCAUCAUUUGACGGCUGUGCUUGAAGUGCCAGUUAUCCCCCCACAUUUAGCAGGACGUUUUCAAACCACGGCCUUUUAGGGACACAGUCGCUGUCCUCCUCAGAUGUUAGAUGUUACGUGUGUCCCCCAUGACAUUUUUGGCCAUAUGUGAAAAUGAUUUAGUGUUUAGUUUGUGUGUCUAGUUUUGAGAUUUGGCAGCACCAGUACAUUUAUCAGGAUGAAAACCAAAAAGCAAACAAACCCACCUUGACGAGACUCUGGAGGAUAUAUUUAAAUUACCUCAUUUUAACCUCUGGCCCCUGUUUCCCUCCCCACCAGAUGUGUAACCUUUUUUUCUAUUUUUUUAAUAAAUAAAAUAAAGGGUUUCCAUAUCUCAUAAACCCUGCAUGCACAGUGGGGAGUCUUGUUUCUAAUAUCACACAAGUUCAAACACACCACUGGGGUCCAGGCCAAGCGAGGCACAUCUGUUGAGGUUUAAAGUAAAGAGCUGAACAACUUGGUGCUGGCUGGCUGGCUGCAUGGCUCACAGGGGCAUCAUUAGCUCUGUGAUAAUAAGAGCAAACACCUCUAUUAUGUUCCCUGGGGCAUGUAAUAUAUAUGUUCACACCUGGUUAGACUGUGUGACAAUCCCCAUUAGGCUCAGCAGUUGGGCCACGCCUUCCCACUCAUUAACGCCACAGAUGGAGAUAUAAGGCAGUAGUAGAUAAUGGUCAAAUACUGCACUGGCUUUUAACUGAACGAGGAAGUAAAAUGGCGAGCCGGCCAAUGCGUCACACUGUGCCGCGCCGCGGUUGUGUCACGAGGAGGGUUCUGUUUUAAAAGCUGUUAGCAAGGCUUAGCUGUCUGCGAGCACACGGGUCAGCCGGCUGAGCCCUGUGAUGGUGUGUAAAUGAAACGGUAAUAGAGGGUUUCAUCACCGCUGCUAAUUACUGAAUGACAGUUCUCUCAACUCUGUGUAUGUGUGUGUGUGUGUGUGUGUGUGUGUGUGUGUGUGUGUGUGUGUGUGUGUGUGUGUGUGUGUGUGUGUGUGUGUGUGUGUGUGUGUGUGUGUGUGUGCAUGUCCGUGCCUGUGUGCAAUAGGCCUAAUUAGAUAAACUCUCAUUACUUAAAAGUGCAUUACUGAUGCUCUUUUGUAAAGGCUAUAAUUAGGGUGCUGCGCAGAGUGAGUGGUAAUUAAGUUAUUUCUCAAGUAUUAUUAGUUCGUUUUUUAUGAGCCAAUUGUAUUUGAAGGGAUGGAAUGCUUUUUUUAAAUUCAUGCUUUGUUCAUUUAAAGAACUAUUACACAGGGAGAGUCUUUGGCAGUAUUUAUAUCGUCUGCUUCUCGAGGGAUUUUCUGUCUGAUAGAAUUUACGCAGCACAAUGGCAGAUAUCCCCAACAAAAGCGAGCAACAUACACGCACGUGAUUAUGCUCACACAUUCCUUGUCUUGGGCUCUCAGCCUGACUUGGCAUUUUUGACCACGUGUCAUCUGAUCCCUGCACAGCAGCAUCCGUAGCCGUGUGAGCCACAGAUCAUCUGACUGCUGCUGAUCCCGAUAACUCUCUCUUCUUCCUGCCAUCAAGUGCAUUAUUCCUCUGCAGUUUUCAAGCAGCCUCUCGCCUUUAACGUCCACUACCUUUCUUCCUUUAAGCACUGAUUACUGACUAGUGGAACUAUCAGUAGAAAGAGGUCUUGCCAACCCAUGAUUCACCCACGCCGGGGUUUUGAUUUCCCGUGUUUUACCUCAUUUGACGUGUACUCGCUAAACAUCGGUCUCUCGUAGGUUUAAUUGUACAAUUAUAUUAUUAUUAGUCACAUGUUGGGUGACAUUGUUGUAGACUAAUAACCACAUAAAAAAACCUUUCGAGAUGUGUUCUUAAUGGCACUAUUUGUCUCCUCACUUAGCACGUGCUUUGUCUAUAAUUACCCCUCUCCAGUGUCCUUGCACCGGCAGACUUGAGUAACACUUGAGAUGCUGUUAAUCACUGUCCUGGGAGAUCUUGACACGCCUUGAAGCGAAAGCUAGGACACUGGGUCACUGGCACAUUUUCACAGGGCUGGCAAAUCCCAUCGGGAGGAUGCUGCGAUGGAUUGAGAGCACUGACUGUUGUGCCGGGGGAGCAGGAGCAGAUCGACUUUUGACAAUCUCCUGAAUGGGCCUGUUUUUACAGGAUAAGUCUUUGUUGCACGCUUCUGCUCUGUGGCUACUCCCAUUUAUGUAAUGUGGAACGUCGCCAAAGGCACAAGGGUCAUAUCAAAGGAGAUACCCAAAGCUCAGUUAUUGGUAUUGCGCUGGAUGUGAGUCUGUGAGAGUCACCAAGGCUAAAUGUGGUCCCAAUGACAUCUAGCUUAGCAGGAACCAACACGGUACUUUUGCAUUUCUGGACGCAGUUUGUCCCAUUGAUGUUGGCGCAAUCGUUCAAGACUUCUCCGUCAUGCGGGCGGAGAGCCCAUUGCAAGAUAAUUCAAUUCAAUUCAUUUUAUUUUGUAUAGCCCAAAAUCACAAAUUACAAAUUUGCCUCAGAGGGCUUUACAGUCUGUACACAUACAACAUCCUCUGUCCCGAAACCCACCAUCGGCACAGGAAAAACUAAAAAAAAAAGAAAAACCCUUCCAAGAGGGAAAAAGGGGAAGAAACCUUAGGGAGAACGUCAGAGGAGGGAUCCCACUCCCGGGAUGGACAGACUACAAUGGAUGCCAUGUGUACAGAAUGAACAAUGUAUAGUACAUGCAAUUCCUAUGACAGAAAUGAUUCAAGUAACUGUGAGUAAUAAGCCAGGCGCACAGUAGGACCACUGCAGGGGCAACCACCAUCAGAUAGAACCACCAUCACAUAGAACCACCAUCAGAUAGAACCACCAUCACAUAGAACCACCAUCAGAUAGAACCACCAUCACAUAGAACCACCAUCAGAUAGAACCACCAUCACAUAGAACCACCAUCAGAUAGAACCACCAUCCACAGAAGACUGUGGGGAGGGAGAGCACAGAGACUUUAGGAGAGGGUAAUGUUGGUUUACGAGUACAGUAAUAUGAUUAAUAUCUAAAAUAAUAAUGAUGAUGAUGAUGAUGAUGAUGAUGAUGGCAGCAGCAGGCGUCAGCAGGGCCACGGCAGGUGUCAGGACCAGGGUACGAAGUGUGCAUUAAUAAAACGUGAAUUAUUGUAGAACGAGAGCGUGAGAGAGGAGCUCGGUGUGUCCUAAGAAGUCCCCCGGCAGUCUAAGCCUAUAGCAGCUUAACUAAGGGCUGGUCCGGGCUAACCUGAGCCAGCCCUAACUGUAGGCAGAAUCAAAGAAUAAAGGUUUUAAGUUUUACUUUAAAAGAGCUGACCAAAUCUGCCCCCCGGACUGAAAGUGGAACCUGGUUCCACAAAAGAGGAGCUUGAUAACUGAAGGCUCUGGCCCCCAGCCUACUUUUUAAAACCAUAGGAACAACAAGCAUCUAUGGAGCGCAGCUGCCUUGUAGGGCAAUAAGGUGUUACAAGCUCUUUAAGAUACGACGGUGCCUCACCAGCAAGUGCCUUGUAGGUGAGGAGAAGUACCUUAAAAUCUAUUCUUGAUUUACAGUCGAUAAGUCUCUAGCGAUAAUCCCAUGAAACAACCCCAGGUCGUAUUGAUUAGCACUUUUUUAGGAGUGAAGACAUUCACAUAGCUGUGAAACAUGAGCUGGUGUGAUGGUAUAUUUGGUCUUUACCUCUCUUUCUCUCUCUGUCUGUGUCUCAUUAUUUCACAUAACACAAACGGAUAAAUCCAGAUGUAAGUAAGUUUUCAUGUGAAACAGGUCUUAUAAGAAUAGCUUCUGCUAAAUGUUUGCUUAAAUAGCAAUGAUCAUUUUCCCCCUCAACAUCGUUUAUCAUCAGUUAACUACCUGACAUUACCAAAGGCCAAAAACACAACUUGCAUGUUUGCUUAAUUAGAGUGAAACUGAGACAAGCAGUCUAGAUUUUUUUAAUAACCAUUUCACUUCAAUCAGGCCACAAUAUUUUCCUACUAAUUUCCUUGAGGGAUUUAAUUAAAAUUUCUCCUUCUCAUAGUUAAUAUUCUUGAUUAAACAAAUGUUAAUACGAAAUUAUACUUACUUACACACUAACACCAUAAACAAGAGUAAAAUAUGAUGGUCGGGAGUCAACGCCUCUCUCGUAUCUCUAUUUAUUAGAUCUCCAGCAUUAAAUGCCUGUAAGCGGUGCCAAUAAAAAAAUCAGUUAAUAUCUUAUUUGGCAUUUAAACAGUGUCAAUGUUCUAUAUUUGUAGGCAAUGUUCAGCGCAAUGUAAACGUUCAACGACCCACAGGACUCGAUGAGUGACGGCCGGCACAUAGACUGCGCCACAUUAUCUUAGUGCACAGAUAUCAGAUUGAGAAAAAAAAAGGAGGGAGAGAAAUGACUAUUUUCCUCAGACGUGGGACACAGAAUGAAUGUCGUGCCCAGGGUUCGCAAAUCUCAUUUACAAAUUUCUGGCGGGGAAAUAUCCCUCCGCUCAGUGUCUCCUCUCUUUCCCCGCCUCCCAUUUCAAUAAAAAUGGAGGUUCUCAUUUAGCAGAACUGUGGCCCUGGAGGCCGUGUUACAGAAACACAUGUAACACACACACACACACACACUGCAUGCAAACCUAAUGAAUCCCAGCCUCCACUGCACUGGUCUCUAUCUUGAUUUGUCAGAACAUGCAUUUCAAAUCUUACUUUCUGUAAAGGUCCAUUUCUUUCCUUUUUAUUUAAACCUGUGGUGCAUCCUGUUUUAUGUUUUUAUAAAGUUUUAAAAUAUAACAAAUACUGAAGGAAAUGUGACCUAAAUUAUUUGUUUUUUUAUUUUACAAACUAGCUUAUUAAGUUCUGAAAGUGAGUGCCGUCUCACUUUCUGUGUUUCUGUGGUUUUUCGUGUCUUUAGUGUGCACAUCUGUUCACCGGAGAAACUAUCUUCCUCCACUUGGCUGGCUCCCGACAUUCCUCGCUCUUUCUUACUUUGGUUGAUUGUUGUUGCAGAAUGAAAGGAGCGUUUUGAGAGGUGAUCACAGACAUUCUCCCUGGAGGAAGCUUAAGGAGAAAAGUGAGCCUAUUUUCAGCGCCGCAGCACUGGAGAGUGGGACUCAUUAUGACUCACUCAGGGCUGAAAUGCUGUGGAUGAUGUCUGAGUCAGACGCCAGGGCCAGUGUCCGCUGCCAUGGUGAUGCACAGCCAAAUGUAACUGAACUCAGAAAGCGAUAGAGAUGGAAAUGAAAUGAGGGAAGCUUAAAAGAGCCCCGAGGCGGCUUCACCAUUGUCAUGAUAAAAUUCCCAGAGUAAAAACUGGCAAGCUGUAUAGGGCUCCUGAAUGUAGGCUGAUAACACAGAGAUGCUCUAAUACUGCAGAGUGCACCAGCUUUGUGCAGAGUUUCUGAUAUUGAAGAAACAUUGAGGCCGAGCAAAGCAAAUUCAGUGACGAUUCCAAAAUAAUACAAUUUUCUCACUUUCUUCCUCAAGAUUUCUUUGGGGAAAUCUUCUGUAUCAUAUAAAAAAUAUUCCUUUUAUUAAGCCAACAUGUAACAAAAUGUGAAAGGCAUUCGACUCAAACACAGCCGAGGGUUUGUUCGCUGAUUAGAAAGGGAACUUAAUAUGCAGCUAGAUAUAGAAGAACACACUUAUUCGACCCAUGCAUUCAUCAUUUCAUAAGUGUCUCUUUGUGAAAACUGAUUCUAGUUCAAUCUUCAUUGCCUCGUCGAACAGAAAGCUUUCUGUAACACAAGUCGGGCUCAUCGCAGGCAAUGUUUUCUUACUUUGAUAAAGUAUAUUAAAGGAGAAGCAAUACGUCUACUUAUUUUGACUUCAGAGAACCCCCCCCCCCCAAAAAAAAAGUCAAGUGUGCAUUGCAGGCUUCCACAAUCACAAGCCUCUCACUCAGUGAUUGUGACUCGGGGCCCCUACGGCUCAAACCCACUAUGGCUGGUAGAUUAGGGGGAAAAGCUGCACAGGCGCUGCCAGACAUGCAGGUGCAACGAAAAAGGAGCUUAAUAUCUUGAAAUGAGAGCAUAUGAAGAAGAAUGAAGGCCUUAAUGAAGUACUGCAUGGCUCAGAACACUUGGCUGGUGUAUUGAGUUAAAAAUAUAAAAGUGUCCGGAAAUGCAGUAAGCUGCAUCGGUGUGAACACGAGUGUGUGUACUUUGCCGCGCACUGUACGGCCGGCAGCAGAGGACCGUGAUGUAAGGGCCGAGCCGUGUAACCGGCCAGCAGUCAUUAAUCCGAUGUGCGUGGCUCAGCCCGGCAGGUUGGCCUCGAGCCAGCGAAGGCAGGAGACGGUCACAUGGAGGCGCCCAUCACUGCCAACUAGCACGGAAAACGUUCUCUACCUCAAAGAACUACACACAAUAACACAACAUUUUUGACACAACCAGUUAUAUAAAACAAAAUCAAAAUAUAAUCUUUUUACCUAAACUAACAUCAAAAGCAAGUAAUUAAAAAACAUGUGAAGUGUGAAAAAUCAUCUAAUUGGUAAAAUGUUCAGUAAAUGUACCCACUGGCAUUUCUUUAUAAAUAUCUGCCAAUGCAUCGAGUGAUGCUAAAAGAGCUGUGUUAAGCCUAUAUCUGCACACACACACACAACUGGACACGCACACACCCCUCCCUGCCAGUCAGGCUGCCAGAGGGCAGCGCUGUGACCUGAGAGCCUGUGACAGACAGCAGGCACGCAGCGCUGACGGUGCUGAGGUGGAAGUGGAGCUGUGCUCCAACCAAAAUGUGUCAUUCACUACCUCAGCCCACUCGGAUUAUCGCACUGCUUGAAAACGUGCAGAAAACUCUGAAAACGUACCUCAGAUACUGUGUGUAAUCUCGCCGAUUUAUUACGUGGUCCAUUCAUUUUGUUGGCAUGCUUGACAAGUUGUCUGUUAUGAUGUCAUCAUGUCCCCUGAAGAAUAACAGUUACAUUGUGUCAUGUCAAACAAAAUGUAAUUCAUUGAAAUGGAAGCUGUUGUUGUUUUUGCUGGUGUGUUUGAUUGGCCAGUCGCAGUGCGGCCAGUCAUGUGACGUCAUGUUGCGGCACAUUUUAUUCCACACGGUCUCGUCUCUGUUGAUGACGUCUCGCUCGUGAAUGCAGUGCUUUUUGACUUCGGCGGUGUUGAUCUUUGCACAAUUUGUGCACUUUUUUAAUAACUCGGGGGCAUGUUGUUCAGGCCGUGGUUACGGGGCGCCUUCAGCAGCAUCACUUACAGGGGUUUAAAUAGAAAUACCACUGUAUUCACUGGAUGGUAGAAACCCGAGUAAAUAGUAAGGCAGUCUUUACAAGACUGAAAAAGUAAAUGUUAAAUAAUAGGAGUUUAAGUGUAAUAUGUGUAAACCAGCUUUUCAGAUGUAUUCUGUUGUAUAAAAUAUCCUUUUUCUCAUCAGCGCUGCCCAAAGACGACAGCUCUAGCAUAAACAGAGGAAAAUUAGGAAAACUCUAGACACGUUUCCAAUAACACCUCCCUGACCGGGAUGCGGUUCUUCAUCUUCACCACUGACAUUAACGUCAUUAUCCUGCUGGUCGAAGCGUCUCUUUUGCAAAGUGAGCGUUGGCUCUGUGACGGCUUUUCACUCUGCAUUUCAUCCUGCACGUUCCCCACCUCUCAAAGAAUGUUCACAUCUCAAAAUCAGGAGAUCGCUUUCUUGUGAUUAAUUUUAUUCAGAGUAAAUCACGUGCGAGUACCUAGUUGUGUGUGCGUGUGUGUGGGUGUGUGUGUGCGUGUAUGUGUCAACAGGCUUUGGUGGCCUGUUGAACCACUUAAAGGAUUCUAUUUAACGGGUCAGCCGAGCAAUUAAUCAAGGGUUUAAUUGGAAUACCGAGUGGAGUGACAUGAUUUAUGCAAAUAAGGUCAUUAAUAUGCAGGCCUGCAUUCAACGCCUAAAUUAAAAUGGCUCAUCCGCCAGCGCAGGCUAGUACUUUCAUUACGGUAAAUUAAAGCGUGAUAAUAACUCCAAAUACACAUAUUUGUUUUCCCACAGACAUUCCGAACGGAACAUGCCCACAGGAAGGAAAAUAUGAAAAGGCAGAAAGAAGGAAGGUCUUAAAUGGGAGACAGUCAGGAAGAGGCAACGUUAAUGGUGUUAAUUCUACCUCAUUAGAAGCAGACUGCUAUCUGCAGGCCUUCGGUUUUAAUUGGAUCACCAAGCAAUUUAAACCACAUUUGGCUCUUAAUUGCUUUUUCUGCACUUUGUUAUAAAAAAAAGAAGUACAGCAGCAAUAGUUUGCUCCUCACCAAAUCCUUACGCCUGGCCAAUGCAGCGCCGUGAUACCAGUGUCUGACCUUUGCCGUUGCCCUUGGUAACCAACCCCGCGGGAACAGUUUGUGAUGGUCGCUCCCAAGUGUCCGGUGCACUCACCCUCACUGUGUGCUGCUGAUGUCAGAGUCUCAUUCCCCUGCAAUUUAGUUUGUCGCAGUACGACUGCUCGUCUGGACAUUUAAUUGCACGCUCGGCAUCUGAGAUCAGUAAGUAAAAUCCACCAGUAGCCUUCUCGCUGUGGGGGUGUGCGGUAGUUGUUGGUUUUGAGCUGUGCUGUGCACCAGACCUAUAGAGGUUUAUCUCAGUAUCCCUAUAUCGCUACUUUUGUUUUUACUAGGCGCCUUCAACUACCCACCUCUUGCAAAAAUGAUUUUAAGUAGAACUUAAUAAGUAGUUAAUAGUGGGAGCCAAAUCUGUCCCUCGGGGGCCAUAUUAUUUGGUUUAUCCUCCCAAACAUGUUUAGUUUUGGAUUGACCAAAGCUGUAUGUAUGAGAUAUCCUUUUAAAACCCAAUCUAAAUCCCUCUAAAAGGAAAUCCUUGCAAGGGCGUGGUGCUGAAACCAAGUCCAAAAAGCUUAUGACUAACAGACUAAUCAUAAAACCACUCAAACCAAAAAUGUGAUUUUAUUUAAAUUACCGUUUUUAUUCCACACCAGUAUUCAAUCAAGAGAUUUGGUUUUUCAGAAAAGAAACACGGCUUCGUGAGGUUAUGAAUGUUGAUUCGGCACACAACGGACCAAACGGACAAUCACAGGAACAGAAAUUCACCUCCGGAUUUAAGGAAGGAGCAUGUAUCAGAGGCUUUGAGAGGGACAUCUGAAUUUGAUGUAGCUACAUAAUGCAGCUCCACGGUACACACUUGGCCGUAAGCAUUGCUUCAUUAAAUAAUAUCACCAUCCUCAAAGCUCUUCUAGAACACCUCGCGCAAUCCGUGUCAUUCCCAGCAUGAAGGGCAACAAGUACAAAGCCAGUUUUCAGCCGACAGCAGCACUUAUCGGCUGUGGUGCAGAUGCUAAUGUGUCACCGAGUGGAGAGAAGCGAAUGGACCGUUAAAGCAACCUUGUUGCUAAUGCUCGCUGUCGGCACAGAUAGCGUUAAUUGAAACUCCUUGCUGCUGUUUGUUUGUUUGUGCGCUUGGUGGUUGCCUUGCUCGCUGCACUGCGCGUAAGGAAGCUUUUCCAGCUUUUUAAUGGAGCACGACGGGGAGUGUCGGACAGCUGGUGCAUGUGGAGCAAAAUGGGUUGCAACUAGCAAAGGGACGGACUUGGAACAUGCUGGAACGGAUUGAUCUAUUUGUUCAAAAGUAAAUAUCUUUGGUCUGCCCUGAUCGCAUUGGGACAUACUGUUGUGGGGUAUAAAUGCCACAAUUUAGUUUGAUCUUAUACAUUGGCUGUUGGCUGUGUUUUGGGAUGUUAUGCGCGCGCACACACACACACACACACACACGGACACCUCUUGUCCUUUUGUGUGCCAGAGCUCGCUGGCUGCGUGGUGUUUUCUGUAAUUAAAGCAGUAAGCAGGGAGUUGUCUUUUUGUGUGGCAGAUGGUCCAGCACCAUGCUGCAUCAGGUAACCGUGACAACCACCUCCCUCCAUGCAGCUAACAGCACCAUCACGGCUCUUUACAGUGACCAAAUGCCAUUAUGCAGUCUGCGGAGAGGGCAGAGAGCGAGGGAGGCUGAAGGAGAGGAGGGUGUAGUGGGAAUGAUGGAGUGGAUCCUCCACCCUCUCAGCUCUCUUGGUACAGACGGGAGGCGGCUCUUGUCACGAUGCUCGGGCCUUCUUAUCAGACAAACACAGGCGGAAGGCAGCAAAUAGUGACACCCCCCCACUUUAUUCCACCUGUUACAGUAACUUGUUGAGUUCAAUUCCACCGACGUCAUAUGUAAGAUAUACAUUGUGGAAAAUGUGAUUACAUCUUCUUUUUGGUGGGGAUGGGGGGGUUUUAUAUUAAUAAAACCCCUUUUGGCCCUUCUCGUGUAUCCGGUUCCUCGUCAUCGCGCCUUGGCCCCUCAGAAAGCCGUUUUGGAUUCAUCGGCCAAUUUCCCACAUCAUUGCUAAUGGGACGCCUCAGAGACGACGAGCGGUGCCGUUAUCUCCUCUCGGCCCGAGUCGCACUACCCGAUUCUGAGGUGGAGCUGCAGUUCUAAACGACCCAAGCAUUCCUUAAAAUUGAAGAACACUGACUCUCUGUCCAUCCGGUGAGAUGUGACGUCAAAAAGUGGUGGGAGUCGUCGUUUUGCGUCGCGUGAAGCGACAACCGAGAGCAGUGGAGCUGCCAUAAAGAGCCGCGGAGGGUCGUCGGAGAGGUGUGUGCUUCCUCGCAGCACCAGAGAGAGGCAGUGACGCACCUUGCUGAGGAGCCGGAGGAGAGCUGUGCACAAUACCGCCGUCGCUCUGCAAAAUCAAUCACUCCCUCACCUGUUCAGCUGGUUAAUGAGGCAGACAAGUCAAUCUUGUUUUAUGCAAAAUAUCACUUUACGUUUAUCAUGUCUGAGGGGGGGAUAAAAUAAAUAAUAAUUAGGCUUGCAGUCGUUGUAGAGGUUCUGCAUUGUUAUUGCCAUAAUUCAAAGGCUACUGCAGCCUGGUCUUCAUCAAAUAAUAAACUGAGAAUGAGAUUACCAGCAUCUCAUUUUAAAUGGGAUGUUUGGCAGGGAAUACGCCAUAGAAACCACUUGAAAAACAAAAUAUUUGAUUUGAUUGUACAACAAUGAAUCAGAUCAGUUAAGAUUAAUUAAGCGUGGUACAGCAGCUGAUCAAUAUAUAUAAAAUCCAUAUUUCUCACAGAACACAGAAAACACAAAACAUUGGAACUUUGAAGCAAGGAGCUGAACAUCAUCGAGUAUAUUUUUGAGGCUACAACAGUAAAGGUAGAUUACUGUAGCAAACCCCGACCACCAGAUGGAUUCUGAGUUUUAAGACCUUGUCUGAGAGCUAAUCUGAUCAGCUAACACCACCGGUAAUAAAUACAGAAAAUAUCAGUUCUCAUGCCUACGGAGAGAUAAUGAUAGUCAGUUAGCUAGAACGGUUUGAUUCCCAUCAAUAAACAACGCACCGCCAAAGCCCAGCAAAAUCUGUUUUUCAAGUUUGUUCAUUUUGCAAACAACUCUUCCAUGACCUCAGAUUAUUUUUUCUCGUCAAAUAUUUACGAUUAAAGUUAGAUGUCAUGAGGGGCGAUGACUGUUAUGGGUGAAUGUAGAAAAGCAACAUAUUUUCCACAUUAUAAACUGCCACAAUGUAUGUGACGCAUUCCCUGUUAAUGUCUUCAUUUUGUGUCUUGCCUCUUCCACCGGUCCCCUGUCGGGUCUCCCGUCUGCGACGUCCUAGUUGACACGUCUUCAGCUGCACGCGGACGCACUGCUGGUGUCUUCCGGCGGGACGUCCAUGUGGUUACCCGCACGGCGAAGGCCUGCACGGAUUCACUCUUGAUACACUCAAGAGCGUUUACGUUUAAGUUAAAUCCAGUUUAUUAAAUACCGACAUGCUUCAGAGCCCCAAUUUGCUAUGCAAAUGUUUAUGCAAAUAAUUAUUAGCGGUGAGAGAAAAAUACUAAGCUGAGUAAUUGACUCAUGGUGACGGAAGUGUGAGAAAUAAAUUAAAUUGAUGGAUGAGCUCUCAUUCACACUAAUGAUCGGAAUGAUUGCGUUCUGAAUUUUGGUUAAAUUUCUUCAGGGUAUACCUAGCAAGCACACACAGUUCAGUCCCAUUCAUCCGCUCCAUGCUGUCCAAGUUCUCUCCUGUUACCACCAACGUUGCAGAAUCGUGCACGCUGUGGUUAACUUUUUAACAGUUCACACCGUUCCGUCCAAUCAAUGGCGUGUUUGUGCUCUGGUAUAAUUUCUCACAGCCCACCCGAUCAUAAAUGUACCUCUUGAUCUGCCUCUGCUGAGAGAAAUCAAUAGCCGUCCAGUUUUUUAAAGGUUUUUAUUAUUUCUUAAAUCAGUGAGGUCUGCAGUGCAAAGUUCCCAGAGUGGAGGCAGAAGCAGCGGUAGGGCUUUUAGUCCAUAAAGCCAACAUGCCUCUGAAAGGUGUAUAUGAAGAUAUUGAUCUGUGCUGUGAAAGCAAGAGGGUUUUCAUCUUGUAUUACAGUUUCCACAGCAGUGACUACCUGGUUAUACAUGGUGGGAAUAAAGCACGGGAUGUCCGCUUUACACGUCUCGGUCCGAGGAUUUGUUGCCUCCUCAGAAAAUGCACAUUUGUUGUGGACAAUAUUCUCUGUUUUGUCUUCUUUUAUUGCAAUUGAAAAUCGAUUUUCUGUUUGUUUCUGUAAUUGACAUUGAUAAACAACAAUACACAGUUCAGACAAACCAUCACAGCCACUAGUUUUUUAUCAAGGGUGUAAUUAUAUGAUAUACAAUGCAAAUACAUUUACAAUAUACGUAUCACAUAUUGUUGACUAAGUGGAGUUGAAGAAUAAAUUUGCUGAUUUGACGUUAGAAUUGGGUAAACAAUGAUGGAUGACAAAACAAAUAUUGGCAAAACAUCGACCGAAAAAGAGUUUUUGUAUUUCAUUUUGAGUAUUUAAAUGGCUAAUUUUGGAAACAGCUAUUUGCAUCCAAUGAGCCCCUUUCUUUUCAAAUGCAACGACAUCGGCUCUGGUUUGUCAAGGCAACAGUUAAAGUUAAGUUUUGCUAUGCUCACAACAAACAAUAGAAUAGCAUCUAAAAAAGCCCCAUAGCUGAGCCGGUCAAAGGAAAGACAAACUUAGGGUCUUAAAGGGCAGAUGAUUGAUCACAUUCCAUCUGCAAGUGAGUUUCGUAGACAUUUUUUUUUUCUUUUCCCACAAAGCCAAACAAUUUCACAGUGUUGAGUAGAGACAUACUGUAAAAGCCCAGUAAUGUAAACAGGAAAUUGGACAUUCAGUGCUUGAUAAGUAAUCAGUCGGGUUGUGAAAAUGACUAAACCCGCUGGGAGCUGCUGCAAUGUGCUCUCUCUCCCUCCUGCUCGUUUAAAAUGCAUCUUCAGCAUUUUGUCACUGCUGCGUUAUCCAACAGGAAACUCUUGGUGGGAUAAUACUACAGUACGCGAGAAAAGUAAUCACAGAUUUGAUUUCUUUUUUAUGACGCACAGUUGCAUUUAUUUGAUUUCUUCCCGAGGAUAAAUCCACUCGACCAAAAGCUCCAACCAGAAGAGUCUGAAACCUGGCAGUUUAUUUGCGGAUUGUUGAGAUGAACUCGUUUUAUUUAUUUAUUUUUCUGUGAACAUCCUUCAGUUUGUUACUUUUCUCUCAUAGAUUAGCAUUCAAUUGUGGCUGUUGUAGCUGCUACUGGGGCAUACAUAUGAAAUAGAAUGAAUAAGUAGAGAAUUCAUCUAUGACGUGUCGUCCUUUCUUUUCACGUUGACUGUUGAUUUCUUGUAAAACUCAAAGUUUGUAUUGGUUUGUUCUCCAUAAGAAGCCAUCUCCUUGAACAUUAAUGACCGACUUUAACAAUUGCUCCCUCUCUCCUUAAUCACACGGCAGUGAUCCUUGGUUAACGCUGAUAGAACUUCACUUGAUGGUAAUUUAAUGCACUGUGCAUGUUGAUCUUAAGUGCCUCUCCCUAAUGACUUUUAAAUCGCAUAACUAACUCUCUAGAUAAAUAUGAUGGGCUGUUUUAUAUUAGUUCUGUUUAGUUAAGCACUUACCUUCUACUGUUUCUAAGUAUUGCCUAUUUUAAUCACAUCUUGUUGUCUUAGUAAUCCGUGCCUGCCAUUUUCUCUUUUUGUCUUCAGUUAAUGCCAUAUAUCGUGAGUUUUCUUUACGCCAGCACAUCUGUUAGAGAAGAACCAAAAGUCUCUCGGUUACAGGUCGGAGACAACAACAACAACUUGAGCAGUUUCCCGUUAAGUUGUCUUUUGCCGAGUUGACCGACUGACGGAUCACUCUGCUCUCCGGGCCGCGACAUCCGUCUCUCAGUCUCCUGUGAGCCGCCGUCUAAUUCCCCAGUCAUCUGAAUCCAGACACUCAUCUCGCCGGGGUCGGGAUGAAAGAGCAUCUCGACGGAGCCCAGGUCCCUCCGUGCGUGGCGGCGGAAUAAGGAGAAGGCCUUAGUGUGAAAUGUCAGCGCUCCUCCUGUGAAGCUCGACUCAUCAAAGGAGGAUUAGUGUCGGGCCGAUGGCCUCGCCGGCCGAGACGGGGUAAUCUGAUGCAUCGGAACCCACACGAGACUUGGAUGUGACACUCGGGCAGUGUGUACACUCGCACACACCCACGCACUGAAAUGCAGGCGCCCACACAUGUUUAGACAAAUGUGGAGUUUCACUUCUUCUGGCGCCACUCUGGGUCACAACGCUUUCAUGAAAGAAAGGCGUGUUUCCACUCAAUCCUUCAUUGCUUGAAUCAUUCAUAUAUGGGGAAGUGUUGAUACCCACUGGCAUUCAACAGAAACAAGGGGCUUAUCUCAACUUGAAGCUUGUGAGUUGAGCAUCAAUGACGAUGAUUAAUGAUGUUCAUAUUUGCGGGGUAAAUCUAACCCGAUUCAGGCUGCAUUUGCAUUCGUCGCAGCGCCUGUAACAACAAUGCAGACCUCCUUUAUGUGCACAGACAGUGAGCCAUUGUCCGCUUUGACAGGAAGUAGCGCUGCACACUUUGUUGUUUCAGCAUCGACAUUGCCAUGUGCGCAUGUGCAAUAGUCCAAUUGCAGGACGUGCAAUUUUUAUUUUUUUGCAUCACAAUAUGUUGCAAGAAAGAAUAUGGCAAUUUCUGAAAUAUCUUAGCAGGUAAAACAUUGUUCAAAUAUCCCCAAAGUGUUUUCAUGAAGUGACACAGUAUCACAAAACGUACUAGCAAGUGUAUCUACAUUUCGUCACAGGACUUUUACUACGAGUCGUGAAUGUCGACAGGCUCCACAUCAUGGGCGAUUACAGUACAUAACGCUGAGGAACAUUGAUGUUGAUGUUUACUCCGGCCACAGAACAAAGUUUCAUGCACUGCGUUGCUUCAAUGAGACGCUGGUGGGUGUGGUCUACAUGGAAGCACGCCGUUUUGGCUUCCCACUUCCACGUCCAUCUGUCCCAUCGCUACCGACCGCUGCCAGGAUCCAAAGGCGAAAGCUAUGAGGUCAUUUCGUAACGGAUAGUUUGCAGUUGUCUCGUUUGAAAGCCUCUGAUGACCCAGCUCACAUCUGUGGUUGCACAACGAUGCCGCUGUAUGAGUGAGUCAUCGGGGAGAUUUCAGCGGCACCUUUGCCAGGGUCAUUACGAUAUCGCAGGACAAUGUCCUGUUUAAUAGACUUAAAUUACAGGGACGGUAACGUCUACUUGAAUGUUAGUCCUCCUUUAGAAGCGCCGCUAUUCGUGCAGACAUGUUGAUGGAGUAGGUGUCCCUUUUGAUCAAAAGCCCGAUACCUCAUGAAAAAUGAAAGGUUUUUAUUUCUGUCCGACCACUUCCCGUUUCUCGCCUUCAAAACCCGCUCUCACUACGGCACUCACGGCCUUAAUGGGAGGAGCUGUGCACCGUGUGUCGUUUUGAGCUAAAUCAAGCACUUUGCAACAAAUAAAGUGCAAGACAAAUAGGAACAUCAUUCUUAAUUUACAAAGCUGACAGGGCAAGAAAUGAGAACAAUACCCAGCCCCAGUAGCACGCUCUUCAUUAAGGGCUUUGUCCUCCACACACGACAAAGCCGAUUGUGAUUGUGGCUCCGACAGGUUGCCGAUAAUUACAAGUGAUGUAUCUGUGAAUAUUCCGAGGUGGUCCAAUCUGAAAUGGGAACAGUCGAAGCACGGUAUAGAACUGCAUUAGCAGAACAGGGCUGUAUAUUGUACGAUAUUUCCAUAUCGUAAUGUAAAAAAGACGACGGUCGAUACUCAGGAAUGGGACAGAUCAAAAGAGAAUGUGUUUAUCGAAGGACAUAUUUAUUUUUAUUAGCCUUUUCUGGUAUUGUUGCCCUGCUGAUUUAUUGACUUUAUCUGAAAAUGUAUAAAAAAUAAAGCUUUGCCGGUGCUCAGGCAGAAAUGCGACUCUUGCGCUGGUUUCACUUCCUCCUUAGGAUAGAUUAUGUGUCCUUUUUGUAAAAGAACUAUCAAAAGAAAAAGAAAGCCUUUGCAAAACAGAAGAUCAUAUUACCAAAGGACUGUACGGUGUUUUGAACGUUGGCAUGUCCGACUAAUGUGCUUACUACGUCCCCUAGAGACCAAUGCGUACGAGCCUUCAACUUGCAGUUUAAAUGGUAAACACACUGUACCUGUACUGCAUUUUUCUAGUCUUCUGACCACUGAAAUCACUUUAUGUGCACUAGAAAUCUUCACAUGCAUUCAUGCACUGAUGACAGGAGUACAUGCUGCGUGCUGCCCAUCAGGUUUUUAACUAACAGGCAUACUGCUCACACACCGCAUAGUCAUAGCAACGGGAGCCGGGUGGGGUUUAGGGUCUUAAAGGACUCAUCGCCAAGUAGAGCCGAGAAUCGAAGCACGGACCCCCUGAUUGACGCCCCCGCUGUCCUCUGAGCCACAGUCGUCUACAGUAACUUAACACUUGAAAAAGCAUCUUUUCAGCGCCCUAAAUUAAUCGUUAUCUGCAAGAAAUUAGAAGGCUGCUUUUGUCUACCUGUCAAAAAGCAAGGAAUUAUUGUUUAAAAAUGGUAAGAGUUUAGCUAAUGGGAAAUCUGCCCCAUUAUCAGGAUGAAUGAUAUGUUCUUUUUUUAUGUAGAGUGGAAAGCUUCGCAGCCUUUAUAUGGAUCUGGAAAUCCAGCACUUGGUGAAGGCCUGCAUGAAGACUGUAUUUUUCCUAUGAUCCUCUACCUUGAACAUCCUCUUAAAUAAUAAUUGUCGCCUUUUCCCUAAUUUCCUCAAUCAUUCAAGGUGCUUCAUCUGCAUCUGCACCAAACACACCUAGGAAAUGUUUUGUCUCUGCUUAAAGAGGCUCUUUAGCUGUAACUCACCCGUCCCUGGGCCUUUAUUUAACACUUCACUCUGGCUUGCUAACAGUUGAAAAAAUGUGAUGUACUGCUCUCCUUUCUUCGUCUGUUUUUUUUCCUCAUUGCAAAAUCGCCACAAAAAAAAGUGUUCUGGUUUAUCAAACAGCCUCAGCCUUUUCCCACAGGAGCUGUUUGGCUCUUGGCUGAAAGCGGGGUCUGCUCAAUGUAUAGUGCAAAUGGAUUGAGCUAUAGGGCAAAAAUAGGAACACAUACAGUAUUAUUAUUUUUUUUUGCGUGAGCGCUCUCUCAGAUGGUCGCGGUAAGUAUAGCAGAAUAGGCGGCCUGAAUGCCCCGAAUCAGACAUGUUUACCCAGAUCACAGAGGAAAUGAGGUAAUUCUGUGGAGCUACUAUUGGCACAGUCUUGACAGAGGACAUGUUUCAUUUAUCCUAUCGGCGUCAAGGUCGACGGGGCAAUUACCGCGGCGGGGAAAAGCUAAGGAAGAAGGUGCGCCGCGGCCCCAGCGGUGAAUACACAACAAAUCACAUGCUGGAAACUCUAAAAUGGGUGAUGUAAAGUGUAGCUCAAAGGCAGACUGUUUAAGCAUGCAGGAAGAGAGUGAGGCGUUUAUCACCCCGCCCUGCAGAGUAGCUCUAAAAGCCCGCUGCCAGCUCACCCUUUUCACCUAGUUUACACUCAAGGGACGGGAAGUACAGCUCAUUCUGUCUCCUGGGGGAGACAUCCACCAGCAGGGUAGUCUCAGAUUACGAUAAACAAACUUCAUCACCGGCCCCGUGUUGCACAUGCAUUAUCGUAUUUUCCUAGCUGCUUUAUUAGUAUGAGGAGCUUGACAGGGAUUCUCUCUGCUUUCCCAGCAGGCCUUUCUUACCCUGGCUGUCCUUUCUUCUCUCCUCCCCUCUCGCUGGAAUAGCUGCACCUCAGGGCUGUCCCUUUGGAUCCCUCCACCAUUGCUCUCCUGCUCGCCGCCCCUUCCCGUCCCUUCCCCAUCAUCUCCCCCUCCACCACGUUCACGUUUACUCGUGUCAGCGUGGAUUGGCAUGCACAGCGCGUCUCCCGCUCCGACCCGGCUGCCCGCGUUGCUCUCCCAUUAAAAUUCCUGUGCCACAUCCCCGAUGAGGACAGUGCAGCGGGGUCAGCACCGGCCUCCUGGCCUCCCCCCUCCACACCCCCACCUGCCUGCCUAAUGAAGGGGACACCUGUUGGGUUCAUUAUUAAAGGGGCGGCGAUGACCGAUGGACGGGGGAGUGAUGGAGAGGUGAGAGGCAGGGAGAUGACGAAAUGGAGAGACGGGGAAGACGGGUUUCCAGCAGGAAAAUGAAGAUGUACAGGUUGUUUAUAGCUUUGCUAUAAUCUUACUAGGCAGCAGUGUUUUGCCAGCAUUUAAAGCCCAGUGCGGACUAAUGUCAUAUCCAAAUCCUUAAAUUCACAAUUGAAAUUAUUAAUGAUAAUAAUUUUGCUCUGAGCAUUUAACAAAAACAAAAAUCUGGCUACCUUUUUUCUUUUUUCUUUGCGCAUAGAUCUUCAUUUUAAUGUGUUAUUUCUGUCUUCUCACUUUGUAUUAAUGGAAGCUCAUUCUGAGCUGUCCUUGCCAGAAGAGGACCCAAUUUGCUUUAAGUACCUUAAAAGCAAGGAUGUUUAUUUUGUAUGACACCUUUCAACAACAGGUUAAAUCAAAGUGCUGAGUCGUGAGACGUAAAAGGCAUUAAGACAAGGCAAGCAAUGUGCUCUUUCCUUGUUCCUGUCUGUGAUUCCGUUGGUACAUGGUCAUUUUGGCCGGUAUCUGAGUCAAAAUAAAAACUGAAAAUUGUCAUUUCAAACAUCUAUCUUCUCCUUGUUCAUUUGUAGGCUUCCGGAAGACAAAAAGGGCAAAACCUGAAACCUGUAUGGGCGGUCUCUUUAAUGCCCGUGGGAGAACAGGUGUGUUUACCAUGUGCAUUAAAUAUUUAGCACUAAAAUCCAUAUGUGCCCAAUGCCUGCCUCUGCAUUAAUCAACCCCUUGCCAGAAGAACCAUUAAUUAUACCGGGAUUAUCAUAUAGCCAUCCAGAAGAGCCACGUAUUAGUGUGAAGAGAAAUUAGCACAUAGAUACUUUUCUUUUUUUUGUUUUAAAGGGGAAUAAUAGAAUCCCUUCAGCUGCCUGAAGCACAUCCGUUCUGCAUUAGUCCGCCUGCUGCAGAUGCUCUCGGUAAAGUAUGUGGGGUAUUAUGCACGGCUCUUACCAAAGUCCUCCGGGUCCUAACCCGGCUUCCAGAAAUCGUGUGCACGUUCACGCGUCGUACGCCUUCCCAGGUUUUGGGAUAUUCAUGCUGGUAUCUGCCGAGCGCUCCGCCAUAUGUCUCUCAGGUGUCCCUGAGACAAACAAAAACCAGACCAAGGUUUAAUGCAAAUUACAGACCAUGAUCAGCCGAGCGUAACAGCGUAAAUAUUUAUUGUGAUCGGAACUGCUGUACCGUGUCUUUGAAGGGAGGGGCCGUCCCGAGGAUCGGGGGGGGGGAGGCCCGUGAGUGAUGGGAUGCUGGUGUGCAUUACUGUGAAACGGGCCCGGUUGUUUAUUGUGUUUUUCAUGCAGCGUGACUGGGACCAUUAGUUUCUGAUCGCUGCUAAAAGGCAUUCCGCAAGUCCUACCAAAUAAAAAAGAAUGUUGACCAAAUAACUUAAGCCGGAUAUUGGAUAGUUGCGCUCACCGUGUUAUAGGAGAAAAUGGGGGUUAGGGCGGGGGGGCAUAGAAGGCACGUCCCUCCAUUGGGAAGCACCUUUCUUGCAGCUUGUUUGUGAGAAAUAAGACUGCUUGUAUUGGCAUAAUGGAGCUUCCCAACAGAUCUGAUGAGGCUCCGAUGUUUACACUCAAUCAUGGACGUAAUGUGCUGCUCUGAGUGUUUUCAGGAGAAGUAAGUGGCUGGAAUUCCAAGUCAUAUAGUAUAUUAUACUCACAAGAGGUAAACUGUCACAAUCACCACAUGAUUCAACUGAAAUAAUAAAUAAUACAAAGACGUUUGUUCAGAUAAAGCACUUGUUAUCGCUAAACGCGAAAUGCCCGCGUCUAAUCUAGGUCAUGAUUGGAUGCCUCAUCCCUGUGCAGAAAGUAAAUCCAGCCAACGAUCGUGGAAAGGCCUUAUCCCACUGUUUACAGCAGGGCCGGGUCAAUAUCCACAGAGGCGCUCAAAUAAACAAACCGUAAAUGCUGGAGCUUCUGCUGGCCUCACAGAUUAUGGCUGUAACAAUGAUUCAUUUUAACAACCUGGGCUAAUUGUCUCCGAAACUUUAGUUACCAGCAAAUAUGAUCCAGCCCUGGGCGCUUUUCUCUUUAUUAACGAAGAAUGAUGAGCGUUACUCCCCCCCCCCCCCCCCCCCCCGCCCCCCACCCAUUUCUUUCAAAUCCGUCGGAGACGGAGCGAGAGCACAGCGGACGGCCGGACGUGAGCCCGGCAAUGAAGAGAGAGCCCGUCUGUCUGUCUGGGAGGAAGCGUGCGAGGACGAAAGGAAGAAACAGAGACUUGUGUUUGGCUUGAAAUCAAAUCCGAGCCUGCUUGUGUUUCCGCAUGGGCUUCGCAUCUGUUUUGUCACUCGGGUCAGUCGUCGGCACAUCUCAAACCGUUUGGGAUUCGUGGCACGGAGCCUGGGCAUUUCUGUCUUUCUUAUAAAGAUAUUGUCCUCUUCCUCCUUCCUUCUUAUCUCUGUUUACCCUCUCCAUCCCUCUCCUCUCCAUCCCUCCCCCUCCUCCCGUGCGCCUGCCUGCAGAAAAGCAGCUCGGCCUGGAGCCGUGUCUGUGAUUCGCCCUCAAUCUUGGCGUGCGCCUCGAACGCCACCAGAGGCUGGAGACGAGACCUCUCCACAGGUGGCGGCGCCAGAAGCACCCCUCCCGCGCCCCGCCCCCACCCCUUCGAUCUACAUCGCCUCUCCCUGAUCCCUUCAUGCCCGUAGUGGGAUCGCAAACCUUGCGAAAAUUGAUUUCAUUGUAUUGUUUCUUUUAUUUCCGGUGUCUGGCAUGUUCGGCCCCUCUGCUUUUCUCGUCCUCCUCCGUGGUUUGCGCGAGGAAUGCACGGCCGCUUGGUAUGGCCAGUGCGGAUCGGGGUGCGAGAUCAGUAUUGUUAUCACACUCCCCCUUUACCGAGGUGCAAAGAGACCGCGACCUUUCACGUAAUCACUCUAACCUACUCGCUCUCUGACACGGGCGUUCUCUCCGCCUGCAGGAACCUCGGGGGAGUCGAUACAUGUAAUGACUUGUUAGCGCGGCCGGACUGAAUCCGUGUUUUGGGUCGCCAACGUAGAACUCCAACCAACCCCCCCCCUCCCUUUGACCCUUCCAUUGUUUUGAAGGGGGGCCUUGUUCAUCCAGUCAUGUCCUUUUGUUUAUUAUAUUGAAUUUGUUGAUCAAUUCAAUACAAACUUCUAUUGUUUCACGAAGGAAUGCCUUGGGAAGCCAUACGGUCUUUUGAUAAAAGCGCCGCUAGGCCGAGGUAGUGCGCGUGCACAGCGGUGUGUGCUUCCACUCCUGCGCUCGGCCGCGUUUGAAAGGAAUGUGCUAGAGACGGCCGUCGAAGCGCCACAGCUCACAAAGGGAAGGGAGAGAAGAAAAGUUCAAGCCGGACAGAUACAAGUCCUCGCUGCUGUGUGUACCACCACCUCCCGCCUCAUCAAAGGAAGCAUUAUAGACAAGAGCUGGCCCCGAAAUAAAAGCUCAGAGAGCUCUUAGGUUAUCACUUCAUUAAUUGGCUUCAUUCAAAAGGAGGGGACAGUGUGAAUGUGCAUUCCCAUCCAAGAUUUAAUUAAGUUGGAUCACCUCAGGGUAUUGUGAGUCCACCUCUCUUAAAUUACCAUAUUGGGCUAUUUUACUAUUUCUUUAUUUUUUGGGCUUUCUCCCACCCUGCUCUCUCUCCCUUGAUCGUUGGUCUUUAAUCUCUGAAUCUUUAUCUUUGUGAAAACACAGAGAGCCUCUCUGGAAUGAUUUUUAACCUAAUAGAACGUAAUGAAAUCGGGAAAUUAAUUGAAUCCACAUCUUGUUCAUGACCCCUUGGUUUAGAAACCCAACUAGAACUACAAAGCAAAUGCUUGCUCAACUAUGUUGAGGUUAGGGAUGCGGUAAUAUUUCAAACAAAGCUUGGGUUUGAUGGUGUGACAUCACACUACAUAGAGAUUAUUAUUUUUGACAUACUUGUUCUGCACCGUCAUCAUCACGCUCCGUUGUCCGACCGCGUGUACUCCUGAAGAAAUAACUGACAACCUCAACACCCCAAUCUGCCUCUGAGGGCUUUAAACAUGAAAUGUAGUGGAUGGGCCAUUGAAUGCUGAAGUCUUCUGGAGGCCUACGGGAGGAAACCGGAGCACAUUAGAAGUGCUGAUGAAUCCAAUCAGCCUGUUCGCAGGCGUCCAACACGAGAUAUGCCGGUGCAAUAAGCAGCGCUACUCAAGGGCUUAAUUAGAAGGAUGCUUGCGUAUUGUUUGUUUUUCAGGCAUUAGUAAAGUCUGUGUGCCCUGAUAAUGGAAUUGGCUGGGAAAUGGAAUCGUUAUGCCCUGCCUUCAUGCUGCUAGGCCUGAUACCGCUUGUCAACGCCAUUGUUUCCUCAGCCUCCCGCGGAGCCCCUAUCGAUGUCAGCGGAGGGAGACGGCUCCGCAGCAGCCAGCCAACCCCUCAGCCGGGUUCGACUGUCGGCUAACAAGGCCCUCGAUGCUGGAGAUGAGGCUCUUGUGUUAGAAUCCUCCUCUAAUUAGCAGCUGCAGCCCCCCGCCCCCCCCUGCCCCUCAUCUCUCCUCCACCCGACAGUCUCGCACAUCAAGUCAUCCCAUCACCGCAUGUACGCAAACGGUUUCUCUCCUGCUCUCUCGGUGUGCAUCGCGCUGCAGCUCCAUGACCUCCACUUCCCGACCUUUGGCCUGGCUCACGAGUGGCCGGCUAGUCCGACCAGUGUGUGAGGUUAUGCUGUGUAAUGACUCGCGUAAACAGCUGAACAAAUCAGGGUGAUGAGGGUAAAACAUUUUUGAUAUUGCUGAUACAAGCUAAAUGCAAUCAUAUGUUGCUGCAUGCAAUACAACUCUGGGUUUCACUGUUAUGAAACAAUUUUUCAUUACAGCAUUUGUUUAAUUGGUUGUCAUGUAUGUGGUGUACCAAAGAUUAAUCAUUUUACCCUGUGCUCCAUUACCAACAUGCGUCACCACCACCGGACUGUUUACGUUAAAUUAAAGAACGUCGCCCAGCGACUCGGAGCUGCGUUACUGCGACUUUUUAAAGUUCAAGCACACUGAAACCAAAUUAAAUGUCUCAACAGCUGCCAUUGAUCGUGGGCUGUUUUUUUUUCCAUUGACAGUUCAUGCCAGGUUAGUUAGAAAGCCAACCAGCCAAAACCCACCCGCUUGGUACGGAAAUACGGGAAGCUCAGGAAUUCUUUCACUGGGCGAGGCAGGAAUUCAAUCAGUCGCACUACGGGGCUAGGAAACCGGGCAUCCGACACAGUUCUGCUUCAGCACUUUUCAAUUUGGGCUUGGCCUGCCUCAGCCUCCGGCCUGUAGCAUAUCAUUAAUGAAAGUCACAUUAGGCGUCCGUGACAUCUGUAGUCAUCCCGCUCAACCGGCAGGAGGUUUCAGGGCUGUAACGGGCGGUUGACGUUCACGGCCGCCACGCCGGCCUCCUGGUCCUAGACUCCACUUCAGUGUGGCUUACUCUUCCUCCGCGGCUGUGGACGUCCCGACCGCGUUCUGCUCACGAAACCUGAUGGACUACAGCGCGUGCUGGACGUCCCUCAUUCUCUGUGUCUUUCGAAUUGGCCCGGGGAUUAUUGACUUUCUCUGAAACAUUUUAUUAGAUAAAAAUAAAGUGCUGCCCUUUCCAUUGUCCUCUCCCCUGACCGAGCCCCUUUCCCCGCCGCCAUCGCUUAAAUGAUUCACAAUGUUUGUGCUGCUCUCCUUGUUGCUCAAGCGCUUCCCCCGUGUGGCGUGGCAGAGGUCGGGGAUUCUUUCACUCAUGCAGCAAGGAUUAGAUGGAUGUCUCGGUUUGCCUUACACGGUGACCUUAAAUCCUGAAAUCCUGCUCUCUCAGACCUUUUGCCAUUCAGGGGGAGCUGGUUGCCAACGCGUGAGGUUCUGUGCCUCCGACGGACGGCCUCGUGGUAAACGCGCCUCCCAUCGGUGCCAGGUAAUGCACUCUCUGGCUUUGCUGUGUUUUUAAGUGAUAUGGCCGCACAAGGUCACACUUCUAGAGCAGAGAGCACACGCUGCAUCUUUGGAUUGUGUUUCUGACGCGUGUCCCAAAUCCCUUGUCAAAUAGCUGCUGACUUGUCAAGCAGUCGUUCACAUAUACCAUCACUGUAGGGGGGAAGCAAAAGGCCACACUGUGCGAUGGUUAUGUUAAAGUGCAUUCUACCAAGCAGUGCAGUUCUGUUUUUUCCACAUCAGGACGAUUCGUUUCACGUUUGCCAUCAUCAAGGUUCGAGGUUAUAAAAGUUUUGGAGCGGACGCCAGAAAGGGAAGUUAAAACACUGCAGGUUGUUUGUUCAGAGAGAUUAAUCCGUGGGAUGAAAUAAGACGUGGUAUUUCAAACCCUACUCUGUCCCCUGAUAUAUAAGCCAAACCCAUCUCACUUGUCUCCGCCAUAGCAGGAUUCAUAACUAAGCAUCAUCUUUAAGGACAAUUUACUUGACACAGAUCUUUAAAAAAAACAGAUUUUCCCAUUGAAUAUAAUGUCAUGGCGGCUCCACGUGAUUAGAUGGGAAUCUUGCCUUCACUGGGUGCGGGUGGAAACACAGCUUUGAAUAAAGGAAGUGAGCCGUAUGCCGUGUGCAGUGGAGGCACAGCUCAUGUGUAUCCAUGAAACCUCUCCUCGUUUUUUGAUGCCUCACUGUUUGUCACUUGUCAAAUUCUUUUGGCUCAGAUUAACCUGUCACAUCGACAGCAAAACUCACUACAAGGGCUCUUUGUUUCUCCCGGACCCUUCGCUUGACUAUGUUGUCUAGAUCAUGUCACGUCUCUUCGCCCGUGGCUCCAUUUCCAUGCCCGAGCUGUCAAAAGAAAUCGCUCUCACACAUCUGCCUGAGAGAGACGGGAUGUGCUGAGAACGGUCCGAGUGUGCCUUGUGGUCUGCUAUGGAUGAUACCGGGAAACGGAAAAACACAGAGACCCAGAAGGGUUUGCAGUCUUAUUGCAAUAUGUAUUGUUCCUUGCUGCACAAACACAUCCCUGCCAUGUAUGUGUACAAUGAGUAAUUAAACCCAGUCUGGCAGCGCACUACCUUGCUUUCUCACAGCUUUAGAGGCCCUAUAAAACAGGGUGUGGAGCUGUGGAAAGUGUAGUCCUCCCUCUGCAGUUGCCUCCAUGGCCUCUCUGCGCCCCGGAGGACACAUGCUGCAGUGGGAGGAUUUGUGUUGUACAGUGCAGUGAAAUGCACCUCGCCAGGGAAAACUUGGCCCACCACACAUAAACCCAAACCUCAAAUGAUAGGUUCAUUCCACCCAUGAACUCAAGGAAGACUCGCGGUGUGGAUUCGGAAGCCCUCGCUGCUUUUCUGACGGAAUUAGUGAGAUUGAUGGCUCGGACGAGCAUUAAUCAUGAAGUUUCUGAGCUGACUCAGUGUUCCUGGGGGUUUUCUGAUUUAUGGUUAGUUUGGCCGCUUGCUGGCAAAAUGCACCAAAUCAUUUGGACACUUGAGAAAUGACGACAGGAGCAAAAAGUGAUGUUCAUUAGCUGGCACAUUAUUCUUUUCAACAUUGCACGACAUGAUGUGCCAACUGGAUCAUACCAGGGCUGUCAAAUUAACGCGUUAAUCUGAGAUUAUUGUGAUCGAGAUGAAUGCGCUAAAAUAUUUUAACGCAGUCAACGCACCUUUGUUGACACAAAGCCACCGCUAGCUGCAGUCAGUUAGAUCGGAGAGACCGAGACAGUAGUUGAAGGUGGAGAGAGCUUUUUGAAUUGGUAAAAGUAAAACAAACAGACAAACUGUUGCACCGUGUUGCACUGUUGCGGAUCUAGAGAGCCAUUGAUGGACAAUCCAAAUGCUCCCAAUCUGGUAUUGGCACUUUUAAACAUGACAAAUUGUCUUCGGUUGUAAACUUUUUCGCACGUGUUUUAAAAAAGCUUGUCCCUGCCUUCGCGACCUCUCCGUGAGCAGCAAACAUUCCCGUUGCCAUACAUCACCGCGGGGCUGGCGCACGAGUGCUUCCUCUUUAUUAGCUUAAUUAAUCACCUCGGCUACCUCCUCGCAUUGGGGCUUUCAACUGCGUCUUCCAGAAACUGUUUGUUUGGAUAGCAGCUUUACAGCUAAGGGAGAAGAAGGGACCACGGACCAUCAAUCUCCACCAGCACUUCUAAUUGGCUACGGGGGUUUGACAGCAGAAUCUCUCCCUUGCGGACCAAUAGUGCACAAAAAAGGAGAAGCGGCGUUAUCUGACAGCUGCUGGUGCGUUGGUGUCAGAGUACAGUGCUAUCAAAACAGUGACAGUGUGGAUGUCUUGCUUUCUCAGGGGACCAAGAGUCCCUGUUCUGACAUGUCCCCGUGUCAGCAGACCAGAGGAGGGCUGGAAUGUGCUCAUGACUCUACACGCGUACCCGGUUAUGCUCCGCCGGGAUGCAGAGUGGCAGGAUCGCUCUUUUUUUUUCGUUUUUUGGGAGGGGGGGCAAAGCAGGGGCCAGCUCUGUGAAUGAGGAACCUGAGUGAGUGUGUGUGUGUGUGUGUGUGUGUGUGUGAUGAAGCCAGAUCCGUGGUGGGUCGAGUUUACCGGUCGUCGCUCCUUCACAUCGGAUGGACGCGACAUCUCGGCCUCCGUGAUCAAUGAACUUCCCCGAUUCAUAGGCAGGUGUUUGUUUGGUACGCAAACCUUUACUGAGAAGGUCUGAUUUGAAAGAGUUACUCGGGGGGCAAUGUUCCAUUUCCUUUAUGGAUUUAUAUUUUCAUGUAAUGGUUUUAGAGGGAGAGAGAAAGUCACGUUGGCCCAGUUUUGGGGCGGUGAAGGCGAUCGGGAGCAGAGGAGAAGUUAACAUGGAAGUUAUCUACCAUGACACCAAUGCACUAAUUAAGAACAUCUCUGAAGAGCAUAACGUUCCUAGUGGUGCUUUUACAUGACUCUUUGUGGAGAAAAGCUGUCGAUUAAAUCAACUAUAUCACGCCUCAAGCUCUCAAAAUGGUGCCAAAAGUAUUAUUUUCUCUAAAAUGUAGCUUAUGAAAGCGACUACUUACAGGAAGUUUCAGAUGAACAUUUAAUAUCCAGGAAAUCACAUUCACAUGUGGUUGAGAAUGAGAUGCGGAACUCUAAAUGUGCCAAUGAAGUUCAGUGUGAGGUGUGGAAACACGGCGCCUUGCUCUCCAAAAUCCGGAUAAUUAUAAUUCAAACAAAAGACGUUUCGUGUCAGGUUUUGAGUAUUUUCCAUCCACGCGUUGAAAAAAGAAAAGGACUCCAAACAUUGUCUUGUGGCUGGCCAUUGGGUGUCCUUCCCAGGCAUUUGAGUUCAGUCUCACUCGAGUGUUCGCUCAGGCUAAGCCUCACGGUCACUCACCCGCCAUUCACCCAAGGCCGCGGAGCGAAGCAAGAAAGAAGGGGUUCACGCGUGUCCUCUGCAAAUAUGAAUUUCCUUCACGAGAUCAUGAGGUUGAUUCAACUUCGGGGAAAACAUUCAUUCACCUUUGCUCUGCCGUAAUCAUUUGUUCUUCUCGUGGAAAUCAAAACAAAGCCCAAGGUUUAAUAACGAUGUGCUUGCUCACAGCGGUGCAUCCUCAGCGUUUCAGCAGGUCCUAUUGCGGGAAGCGGCCUCUUAUGGGAAACUGUGCUCUGGCACACAGUUUUUAUGCGAGCGGCGAGAGAAGACUUUAUUGAAUUUAAAGAAAACUGAUAGCAUCGCAUGGAGACACUGUGCAGAGAAAGUAGACUUUUAUCAAGAAGUGUUGUUAUUGGAAGACUGCAUUGGCCGCAGACUUGGUUGCAACUUGGUUUGUUUUCUUCCCGUCUAAUUCAUCAUUUCCAGCCUCAGCGGACACAACACACCCCAAAAAAGAGGUUUUAGGUCUGAGAGGAGAAAAGAGGAGGACUGUGCAGAGGACAAUGGCGUAUUCUGUCCAUCUCUGAACCCUGACCCUUUUGGGGGUUGUCAGUCAUAUGAGUAACGUAACUUUUGUUUCCAUUUUGGGGCGUAAUCUUUCUUCUUGAGUGUGCGUCAUGCUCCGCCGCCUUUGUUCUGUUCCAAGGAGGAACGACAGAUGCCCAUUGGACGAAGCAGGCACAAAACAAUCAAUUAUUUAGCCCCUCUUCUUUCACCUUCUGUUGAAGUCAACGCGUUUUUCUUUGUACCUGCACUGCUGCCGUCACACCUGACAGAUGUGCACGUUUUGAAGGUGGUGUCAGGUUUCCUCGAGGUGGAAAGUGGGUGCAGGCCCAGAAAGAGCAGCAGCAGUAGGCAGCUGGAGUCCACGUCACCCAGGGAGACAAACCAGUGGCCCACACUGCAAAAGAAGAGAGAGAGGAAGACACAAUGCAAAGUCUCUCUCUUUCCCCCCGAGACAGAGGACGCCAUGGAAGACUCUGCGUCACUUCAAAGCCAUGUUCGUCUCCUCUUACUCCCCUUCUCCUCUUUACGGCAUCUUGCUCCGGGCCGCCGGCGACGGAAACACAGACAAACUGAAGUGUCCCGCCGCGGGUCGCACUGUGUAGAUACAUGUGCUCCCUGUGGUGCCGCAAACCAUUUCCUUGUCAUUUUACACGGCUUAUACGUAGGAGCCGCGGCCGUACGAUUACCAUCACAAAUCUACGUCGAGAUCAAAUAUCUCUUCAUCACGAGCGUGACCACUUUUUCAGUGGCGCAGCUCCAGGGUCACUUGAAUGUUCUCCUACUCCCGCCUGAAACAACUGUCCCAACACGCAGUUAGUCUAUUCAAUGUGUUUAUCGUGUCAAAUCGCCAGUUAGAGAAAUUCCACUUGGCUGACUGGUUGGUUAAUCUUCUGUUAAGAUGUCACUCUUUUAUUGUAGCUGUUGCGCGUUUAUAGCCAUUUAUUGUAAAUUGCAGUAGAAGUAAAUUUGGCCAUGAGAAAGGUUUGUUUUCCAAACACUUCUCGCCGCUUCCAGUAAUUUGCACUUUAAAAUAACAAGACCCGCUGCGAGUCGGCUGUUAAAAUCCAGCACGCAACAAUUAACCGGUUAAACAAAUGUCAGUGAUUGUUAUUGAUUUAGUGUUAAUUAAGAGCACCGAACACAUGUUGUUCUGCACUCAACUACCACAGCUUCCUCUGGCCGCACACACCGCCGCUCACUUAGCCAUCAUGCGUGUCUAUCCCUGCGCUGUGUGGGUGUUUUAAUGCCGCCGAGGUCCAUAACAGCAGCCCGGAUUUAGUGUGCUGGACUCGCAGGCCUCGGGCAAUCCGAGGCAUCCAUCAUCCCCGCAGUUUAGACGGGGAUGGAAAGCGGGAGAGAGAGAGAGAGACGGAGGGAGACAGCGAUGGCGAACAGACAAAGUGACAGAGAGGUGGGUGUAUAAAACGCAUCGGCCUACGUAAGGAGAGGACUGAAAUGUCAGCGUGAAAGUGUUCGUCUGGAGGUGUGAUCCACUCAGACCUGCCCCAGUGGGUAAACAGCUUUAAUCAUAGUUGCGCUGUAGAUAUUAACAGUCCGUCUCUAUAUGGCUGUUAACGGGUUGAAGUGCAGACCAUUAAAUCCUGAAGUGUUUCAAAUCAUUUGUCAGGUGUUCUUAGUGUUUCCAAGUCUUUUUUUUUUUUUCAUUAUCGCUAAACGACUGAAACUCAACCCCUCUGCCUCAUUUGAAAAAGUUACUCCGAUGUCCCUGGUGGACAAGCGCUCAUAUAAAAAAGCUGUACAACUAUAAAUUAUAUUUUCUACUUUGGGUAACUGGACAAAAACAAACCCCUUUCCUAAAGUAAUUUCAUAGCCAACAUCAGUGCUUAUCUUAACUAUCAGAUAUGUAUUACUUUAACCGUUCAUAUACCAGUUUCUUUGCGUAUUACCACCUUUUUUUCAAAUCAGUAAAAGGGUUUUAAUGGGUUUAAAUGUUUAACAAUUCUGCCUACACAGUUCGUUAUCUAUUUAUAGGACGGAUUGAAAAUAAACAUGUGGGAUAUGUGUUGGAAACAUAUUUCUAAAAGUAUCAUUUUUGCUCAAUAUGACAAUGGAAUUUGAUCACCUUCAUGUCCCCCCAGAGGAGCCCGCUGUAGAAGUUCUGACCUGCUGGAUGGAGGAAGGUCAGUGGGAGAGAGAGCACGCAGUGCUUUGGGCGUAUUUCCUGCCUGGUGUGGGUGUUAUGAAAAAUCAGGCCCCUUCAGGAAAGGGAGCUUGC